rnacentral:rRNA from 1 species
GACGACGCUGGCGGCGUGCUUAAUACAUGCAAGUCGAGCGAGGUUACUGUUUUGGAUCCCUUCGGGGUGAAGAAGCUUUAACCUAGCGGCGGACGGGUGAGUAACGCGUGGGUAACCUACCCCAAAGUCCGGGAUAACAGCGGGAAACCGCUGCUAAUACCGGAUGUCUUUACCUUGGGGCAUCUUGAGGUAAAGAAAGGUAACGCUUUGGGAUGGGCCCGCGUCCCAUUAGCUAGUUGGUGAGGUAACGGCUCACCAAGGCGACGAUGGGUAGCCGGCCUGAGAGGGUGGACGGCCACACUGGGACUGAGACACGGCCCAGACUCCUACGGGAGGCAGCAGUAGGGAAUAUUGCGCAAUGGACGGAAGUCUGACGCAGCGACGCCGCGUGAGCGAUGAAGGUCUUCGGAUCGUAAAGCUCUGUCCUUGGGGAAGAAGGCGAAAGCUUGACGGUACCCAAGAAGAAAGCCCCGGCUAACUACGUG